CACCUCUUGCUCAACCAUAAGAGGCCCAGCCUGCCCAGUGACCCUGUUCAACGGCCGCGGUAUCCUAACCGCGCGAAGGUAGCGUAAUCACUUGUUUUCUAAAUAAAGACUAGUAUGAAAGGCAUCACGAGAUUUAAACUGUCUCCUUUCCCUAAUCAGUGAACCUAAUCUCCCCGUGAAGAAGCGGGGAUAACCUUAUAAGACGAGAAGACCCUGUGGAGCUUAAAACUAUUAAACACGUGCUGCCCCAUUCUUACACCAAGGCCAUCACCUACUCACAGCACGUUGAUUUUACGUUUUUGGUUGGGGUGACCGCGGAGAACAAAAUACCCUCCGCGAUGAACGGGACUACUCCCUAAAUAAUAAGCCACAACUUAAUCUAUCAAUAAAUUGACAUUCAUUGACCCAAUAUUUUGAUCAACGAACCAAGUUACCCCAGGGAUAACAGCGCAAUCCACUUUUAGAGCUCCUAUCAACAAGUGGGCUUACGACCUCGAUGUUGGAUCGGGAUAUCCCAGUGGUGCAGCCGCUACUAAAGGUUCGUUUGUUCAACGAUUAAAAUCCC
rnacentral:rRNA from 1 species